rnacentral:rRNA from 3 species
UUAAAUUGAAGAGUUUGAUCAUGGCUCAGAUUGAACGCUGGCGGCAGGCCUAACACAUGCAAGUCGAACGGUAACAGGAAACAGCUUGCUGUUUCGCUGACGAGU